GGAGUCUGCAACUCGACUCCAUGAAGUUGGAUUCGCUAGUAAUCGCGCAUCAGCCAUGGCGCGGUGAAUACGUUCCCGGGCCUUGUACACACCGCCCGUCAAGCCAUGGGAGCCGGGGGCGCCUGAAGUCCGGGACCGCGAGGACCGGCCUAGGGCGAAACUGGUGACUGGGGCUAAGUCGUAACAAGGUAAC
rnacentral:rRNA from 1 species